rnacentral:rRNA from 1 species
CCCUUAGAUGUUCUGGGCCGCACGCGCGCUACACUGUUUGAUUCAGCGAGUCUUAACCUUGACCGAAAGGUUUGGGUAAUCUUCUAAAGUCAAACGUGAUGGGGAUCGAUCAUUGCAAUUAUUGAUCGUGAUCGAGGAAUUCCUAGUAAAUGCAAGUCAUCAGCUUGCGUUGAUUACGUCCCUGCCCUUUGUACACACCGCCCGUCGCUACUACCGAUUGAAUGGUUUAGUGAGAUCUCCGGAUUGGCUCUGUAGGUCCCGCAAGGGAUUUAUUAGUAGCCAAGAAGCUGCUCAAACUUGAUCAUUUAGAGGAAGUAAAAGUCGUAACA